rnacentral:rRNA from 1 species
CUCAGGCGCUUGAGAGAACUCGGGAGAAGGAACUCGGCAAAUUGACACCGUAACUUCGGGAUAAGGUGUGCCUUUGUAGCGUGAAGAGAGAAACACUCGGAGCGUGAAGAGGCCUCAGAGAAUCGGUGGCUGCAACUGUUUAUUAAAAACACAGCACUCUGCAAAGACGAAAGUCGACGUAUAGGGUGUGAUGCCUGCCCGGUGCUGGAAGAUUAAGUGAUGGGGUGAGAGCUCCUGAUCGAAGCGGUCCUAAGGUAGCGAAAUUCCUUGUCGGGUAAGUUCCGACCUGCACGAAUGGCAUAAUGAUGGCCACACUGUCUCCUCCCGAGACUCAGUGAAGUUGAAAUGUUUGUGAUGAUGCAAUCUCCCCGCGGCUAGACGGAAAGACCCCAUGAACCUUUACUGUAGCUUUGCAUUGGACUUUGAACCGAUUUGUGUAGGAUAGGCGGGAGGCAGAGAAAGCGCAACGCCAGUUGUGCCGGAGCCGACGUUGAAAUACCGCCCUGAUUUGUUUGAGGUUCUAACCGCGACCCGUGAGCCGGGUCCGGGACCGUGCAUGGCAGGCAGUUUGACUGGGGCGGUCUCCUCCUAAAGGGUAACGGAGGAGUACAAAGGUACGCUAGGUACGGUCGGAAAUCGUGCUGAUAGUGCAAAGGCAAAAGCGUGCUUGACUGCGAGAGCAACAACUCGAGCAGAUGCGAAAGCAGGUCAUAGUGAUCCGGUGGUUCUGAAUGGAAGGGCCAUCGCUCAACGGAUAAAAGGUACUCCGGGGAUAACAGGCUGAUACCGCCCAAGAGUUCAUAUCGACGGCGGUGUUUGGCACCUCGAUGUCGGCUCAUCUCAUCCUGGGGCUGUAGCCGGUCCCAAGGGUAUGGCUGUUCGCCAUUUAAAGAGGUACGUGAGCUGGGUUUAAAACGUCGUGAGACAGUUUGGUCCCUAUCUGCCGUGGGCGCUGGAAGAUUGACGGGGGCUGCUCCUAGUACGAGAGGACCGGAGUGGACGCACCUCUGGUGUACCGGUUGUCACGCCAGUGGCAUCGCCGGGUAGCUAUGUGCGGAAGAGAUAACCGCUGAAAGCAUCUAAGCGGGAAACUUGCCUGAAGAUAAGUCUUCCCGGAGGCUAGACCUCCCUGAAGAGUCGUUCGAGACCAGGACGUUGAUAGGUCGGGUGUGUAAGCGUUGUGAGACGUUUAGCUAACCGAUACUAAUUGCUCGUGAGGCUUGAUCCU